CCUACGGGGGGCAGCAGUGGGGAAUAUUGCACAAUGGGGGAAACCCUGAUGCAGCGACGCCGCGUGUGGGAAGACGGUCCUCUGGAUUGUAAACCACUGUCCCCAGGGACGAAGAUGACGGUACCUGGGGAGGAAGCUCCGGCUAACUACGUGCCAGCAGCCGCGGUAAUACGUAGGGAGCGAGCGUUGUCCGGAAUUACUGGGUGAAAAGGGAGCGUAGGCGGGACUGGAAGUUGGGUGUCAAAUCUACCGGCUCAACCGGUAGCCGCACUCAAAACUGCAGUUCUUGAGUGAAGUAGAGGCAGGCGGAAUUCCUAGUGUAGCGGUGAAAUGCGUAGAGAUUAGGAGGAACACCAGUGGCGAAGGCGGCCUGCUGGGCUUUUACUGACGCUGAGGCUCGAAAGUGUGGGGAGCAAACAGGAUUAGAUACCCGGGUAGUC
rnacentral:rRNA from 1 species